GGAGGCGGCGACGCCCCCCCCGACUUGAGACCGGCGAACAUGCCGGUCUGCCGCCUCCGCACCCCUUUUCUCGAUGAUGCGCACUCAAGAGGCGGGCCUAGAGCCCGCCU
rnacentral:sRNA from 1 species